rnacentral:tRNA from 29 species
GCGGGAAUAGCUCAGUUGGUAGAGCACGACCUUGCCAAGGUCGGGGUCGCGAGUUCGAGUCUCGUUUUCCGCUCCA